ACUGCCUAUAAAAUACAAACCAAAGCAAAAGAAGACAUGAGGCUGCAGUGAGCUCAGAACAUGCAGAAGCCUAAUUUCCAGCAGAUACACUUUCAGAAGGGUCCCCAAACUAUGCUUAGAAGGGUAAUUUAUUGCUUUAGAUCAUGACUAUGUGAAUAAAUAAUAAGUAAAUCAGUAUGUCCCUCCUGCUUUUUAAAAGGACACCUCACCUCUCUUCAGGAAGGAUGCUGAAAGCAUCAGUUAGAGUAUCAUCUCCAAGAGCUGACACCUGCAACUUUAAAUUUUAAUGAAACAGAAACUGCAGGAAGAAACCUUGACAGGUUAUUCCAGAUAGUGUCAGUUUUAUAUCUAAAGCUAAUCAGGAACAAAAGAUGUUAGAUGUUAGCAUCAUUUGUAACCAGACAUGUAUGGGAGCUUCAGCUACUAAAGAUGAAAGAAACGAAACACAAACACCCUCCUGGCAUUGUAGUGCCUUAACUUUUCAAAGUUAGAACUUAGAAAGCUUCGCUUAAAAUAAACACUUCAGAAAAAAACCCUACAUUUCUAAACAAAUGUACACUGAAUACCUGCUUAAACACAUACCUCCUUUCCCAAAGGAAACAAAGUCUAUUUAGUCAUUAUCCUUUUAUUUAUUGAUCCGUAUGUUUUGUGUUUAAAAAUCCAUCAAGAAAUGCACAUUUUCCCAAAGAGAAUUUAAUGCAAAACAUAAUUAAAACAUUCCUUGAGCUCUUCUGCUUGCUUAUGUCAUGCGUAAAUUUUCCAUUUUUUCUCUAAAGUAACCUGUGUCUUUCCUCCAGAAUCUUCUAGUAUUAACAUUUAUCUCCAUAAACUGCAAAAGCAUGAUGCUGGCAGGCUGAUGUCACCUGGUAAUACUUCCACUUUACCACAACUUAAGCCACGUGGGGACUCAAGAUGACAAAGUGAGAUCCCAACAUCCCAAAGUGUUUUAAGGAGGAAAGCUGUGGCCAUCCUAAAAGAUCUUUAUUUCUACCGUUUCUUGAGGCCAAGGUCUGAGCUCAGAUCUCUGAUGUAUGUGACAGUACUGGAGGACAUAGAGAUUUCCUUUCCUGGAUCUCCAAUCCAAACUUACUCUUCCUGUCUUGAAUUUGGUUGGGAAUGAGUCUGGAGAGUGUGAAGACAUAAGGGGGGAAGGUUACUUUUGUAAGGAAUUUCCUCUGGGCCAUUACUACCUCACUUCCACUUCCAGUAAGUGAAACUGGUGGUGUCAGGAAAGGAAGUCACAGCUUCUAAAAGCUGGGAGACUUUGCAAGACUCUGUAAAGCACUGUACAGUUGUAGACGAGAACAUGUAAAAUUACUACCUUUAAAAUUGAGUUCGUACUGAUGCUGGCCAGCCUGGAAACGUACAACAGCAUCUGGAUUUGCUUGAUAUAAAUCCUCGAUUACAGCAGAAGAUGGUGGGGUCACGCUGUUCCCUUCUUCCUUUGUGGGGAGAAGAGAGAAAAAGAAAGAAUGAGAAGUAUCACAUUCAGGACUAAACCCUGGAUAACUAGCUGGGGUAGAGGGAAAGAAGAGGCAAAGAGUAGGAUGACAAGGAAUCUACCCAGAACUAUGGUGGCCUGAGGCUGAGUACUGAACAUUUGUAACAUAUGCACAAAUACAUAAUUAGUAAUGAUGGACACACAUAUAUUCCAUUUAAAUUCCUGUAACAAGUUACACUGGUUUUGCCUGGGGUAGAGUUAAAUUUCUUCCCAGUAGCUGGUAGUGGCUGUUUUGGAUUUGUGCUGAACAGAGCUGAUAACACAGGGAUGUUUUAGUGAGUGCUGAGCAGGGCGUGCACAGAGCCAAGGCCUUUUCUGCUCCUUGCCCACCCCACCUAUGACAGGACUGGGGGGCACAAGGAGUUGGGAGGAUACACAUCCAGGACAGCUGACCACUACUGGCCACAUCUGGGACAUCCCAGACCGUAUGGUGUCAAUCCAGUAUACAAAGCUGGGGGGAGGAGAAGGAAAGGGGAGACAUUUGGAGUGAUGGCAUUUGUCUUCCCAAGUCACUGUGACCUGUGAUAGAGCCCAGCUUUUCUGGGAUGGCUGAGCACCUGCUUGUCCAAGGGAAGUGGGGAACAAAUCCCUGGUUUUGCUUUCCUUGUGCACACACGUUUGCUUUGUCUUUUAGUCUUUAUCUCAUCCCACAAGUUUUCUCACUUUUACCCUUCCAAUUCCCUGUCCAGUUCCAUGGCAGGGGAGGGGGCGGGGCUGAGCUGCCACUGGGUGUGAUGGGUACACGCGACUCCUUACCAAACCAGUGUUAGUUUGGUUCAGGCUCCAAAGCAAGCAAAGGCCUAGGCCAAGAACUUUUCUAGUUCAAACUUGCUCUCUGAAAACCCGCAGAGGAACAGGGUGACAUGGUAAGCAUUGAUGCAUAUGAGCUGGGAAACAAACACUGAUGAUAUGAUUAAUGCAUGAAUAGCAAGUGGUUCUUCCAAGACUAGUUUGCCAAUGAAAAAUAAAGUUGCAGGGGUAAGGAGUCUCACUCUUACCUUUUACUUUGCUUGUGAUUUAACUAUGACCCAACCACUUCCUUCCACAGAUAGGAAAGCCUGAGUGGGCUCCUUGCAAGCACACCCUGCUAAGGAGCAGCUGCACAGCUGUGAUCUCUCCCGGAUGUGGGACACCUCUCAGGGUGACUCUUUGAGGCUGAGUACUCUUGGAGGUUACUCUCUGAGUCUUUUAAACUGUGCUCUACCCAACACCUUUCCCUGUGUACUUUUCCAAGUCCCUGGAUCACCUUUGUGUUCUAUCAUUUGUGCUGCUAUACUGUAAACCAUAUGGGGUACACUCAUCUGCCUUGGGGGAAGGUGAGAUUCUGUAUUUAUUUCUUUUCCUGCAUUUUUCAGAUAGAUUACUUUCUCAUCAAAGGACUUGGACAUACAAGGAAAAAGACUGCAUUUGAUCUGAGAGAGCAGAGCAACCCUUGCAUGUCCAAGGAAGCAGGGCAAUGUUUAGAAAAGAGGCAACUACUUCCCACAUAUCUUAAGGACAGUGUAUAUAUGUUAAAUCUCUCUAGGAGCCAUGGACAACUCCAAAAGGGAGCUCUCUUCCCUCUAGCCUGUCAGCAUUUUAUCAUGUCUGUUAUGAACAGCUGUAGCUUCACCACCUUACCCAACUGUAAAAUUCAAGCACAAGGAUUCACUUAAUUAAUCCUGCUGAGAAAAGGGGAAUGAUGCAGAGAGGUUCCACAUAUUCCCGCAGAAGUGACUCGAAGCACAGGAUGUGAACUCACCUGUUCUCCAUAUUCAAUCCACUUGUCUUGGUUAUUCUUCCAGUACCAAAUCCACUGUGUGGUCAGUACGAAUGUGGGUUUUGUGACUGACGAAGGUGUAGAGAGGCGUCGAACCAAAGACGAAGAGCAGGUCAUUGUCUGGAAAUUAAUGUUCCUACUUGCCAUGCUGCAAGGACAAAUUCAGGUUUAUUAUAGUUAACAGUGGAUAUUUUAUUCUCUAAUCCCUAGUUUAAGCUGGUGCCAUUUUCUUUAAUAUAAUGUGACCAAACUUAACUAGAUCUGAAAUAAGAGUAUUUAUUUCUCACAGCGCAUGACAGCUCUGAAAACCAUUUCCAAGCUUCAGAAGUGAACUCUGGCCUGUGAGACAACAAACGCCAUCUCAAUCACACGUGGCACUGCCAGCUUUACAGUGUCAGGCUCCAAGUACAGUGUGGCAAAAGGAACUUCUGUGAUAACUAAGCGUGGUUACAGUCUUUCUCAGUACAAAAGCAAACAUGGAAAGCAUGUGACUGAAUUUGCCAGCAAACACCUGCAGCUUACAAACUUCGUUCUUUUUCUGUGGUUACAAAGGAUGCAAUCACAGCAAUCACAGCUGUGAGUUCUGCAAACUGCAUUCAUCACUGGAGCCACCUGGGCUCUUACUUCUGUGAGGCUUGAAAAGUUAACUCCCAGGCAGAAAGAUUUUGAUAGCAGCCUCCUUUUGGGAAUAUUGCUAGUGAUCUCCAGAGAACUGCAAAUCAAAAUCAUCUGGUGCCUUAAGAGGCAUGGGCCAAAACUAGAAUACCGUUUUGUGAAGCUGAACUUGGGGUCCCCUAUGAAUCCAGGUGGCUUUGAGUGGUACUUUUCAGAAAGGAGUUAAAAGGAAAACACACUCUUAAAAUAGAAAGAACACAGAAAAAAAAAAAGGAUGGGCUCUCAUAUAAAGGGCAUUUCAUAAAAUGUCCCUAGGCACAUAAUAGAUGACUAUUAUUGUUAUUACAGAUACUAGCUCUACUAGGAAAGAAAUAGCCAGAAGGACCAGCUCUGAAAUGUUGUCAAAAGGCCCAACUUCAUUACUGUAAAUAAACUGAUCAACAAUCUGAAA